rnacentral:sRNA from 1 species
AUCGGCACUUAUUUAGAGAUCACAGAAUUUGUCUCUGACGGUUGACCACGGAUGUACUGGCAGCCGUUGUCGAGACAAAUCGAGGAAGGGUCGGUGCGAAUUUCGCCCGGCCUUUUUUCUU